UACGUAGGGUCCGAGCGUUGUCCGGAAUUAUUGGGCGUAAAGGGCUCGUAGGCGGUUUGUCGCGUCGGGAGUGAAAACACCGGGCUUAACUCGGUGCUUGCUUUCGAUACGGGCAGACUAGAGGCAUUCAGGGGAGAACGGAAUUCCUGGUGUAGCGGUGAAAUGCGCAGAUAUCAGGAAGAACACCAAUGGCGAAGGCAGCUCUCUGGGACGGUACUGACGCUGAGACGCGAAAGCGUGGGGAGCGAACAGG
rnacentral:rRNA from 1 species